rnacentral:rRNA from 1 species
UUGUCUCUCUUGAGUGGAUCCUGAGUACGACGGAGCACGUGAAAUUCCGUCGGAAUCUGGGAGGACCAUCUCCUAAGGCUAAAUACUCUCUAGUGACCGAUAGUGAACCAGUACCGUGAGGGAAAGGUGAAAAGCACCCCGGAAGGGGAGUGAAAUAGAACCUGAAACCGUGUGCUUACAAGUAGUCAGAGCCCGUUAAUGGGUGAUGGCGUGCCUUUUGUAGAAUGAACCGGCGAGUUACGAUUUGAUGCAAGGUUAAGCAGUAAAUGUGGAGCCGUAGCGAAAGCGAGUCUGAAUAGGGCGUUUAGUAUUUGGUCGUAGACCCGAAACCAGGUGAUCUACCCUUGGUCAGGUUGAAGUUCAGGUAACACUGAAUGGAGGACCGAACCGACUUACGUUGAAAAGUGAGCGGAUGAACUGAGGGUAGCGGAGAAAUUCCAAUCGAACCUGGAGAUAGCUGGUUCUCUCCGAAAUAGCUUUAGGGCUAGCCUCAAGUGAUGAUUAUUGGAGGUAGAGCACUGUUUGGACGAGGGGCCCCUCUCGGGUUACCGAAUUCAGACAAACUCCGAAUGCCAAUUAAUUUAACUUGGGAGUCAGAACAUGGGUGAUAAGGUCCGUGUUCGAAAGGGAAACAGCCCAGACCACCAGCUAAGGUCCCAAAAUAUAUGUUAAGUGGAAAAGGAUGUGGCGUUGCCCAGACAACUAGGAUGUUGGCUUAGAAGCAGCCAUCAUUUAAAGAGUGCGUAAUAGCUCACUAGUCGAGUGACACUGCGCCGAAAAUGUACCGGGGCUAAACAUAUUACCGAAGCUGUGGAUUGUCCUUUGGACAAUGGUAGGAGAGCGUUCUAAGGGCGUUGAAGCAUGAUCGUAAGGACAUGUGGAGCGCUUAGAAGUGAGAAUGCCGGUGUGAGUAGCGAAAGACGGGUGAGAAUCCCGUCCACCGAUUGACUAAGGUUUCCAGAGGAAGGCUCGUCCGCUCUGGGUUAGUCGGGUCCUAAGCUGAGGCCGACAGGCGUAGGCGAUGGAUAACAGGUUGA